AGGACUAACGCUGGCGGCGUGCCUAACACAUGCAAGUCGAACGGGGUAGCAAUACCCAGUGGCAGACGGGUGAGUAACACGUGGUCAACCUACCUCUAUGUGGGGGAUAACUAGCCGAAAGGUUAGCUAAUACCGCAUACGAUCGCUUUGGGGCAUCCCUAGGCGAUGAAAGGAGCAAUCCGCAUAGAGAGGGGACUGCGUCCCAUUAGUUAGUUGGUGGGGUAACGGCCUACCAAGACUCCGAUGGGUAGCUGGCUUGAGAGAGCGACCAGCCACACUGGAACUGAGACACGGUCCAGACUCCUAUGGAGGCAGCAGUGAGGAAUUUUCCGCAAUGGGCGAAAGCCUGACGGAGCGACGCCGCGUGUGGGAAGAAGGCCUUCGGGUCGUAAACCGACUGUCGAAGGGACGAUAAUGACGGUACCCUUGGAGGAAGCCCCGGCUAACUACGUGCCAGCAGCCGC
rnacentral:rRNA from 1 species